UGCUGCUUCGCUGACGAGUGGCGGACGGGUGAGUAAUGUCUGGGAAACUGCCUGAUGGAGGGGGAUAACUACUGGAAACGGUGGCUAAUACCGCAUAACGUCGCAAGACCAAAGAGGGGGACCUUCGGGCCUCUUGCCAUCAGAUGUGCCCAGAUGGGAUUAGCUUGUUGGUGAGGUAACGGCUCACCAAGGCGACGAUCCCUAGCUGGUCUGAGAGGAUGACCAGCCACACUGGAACUGAGACACGGUCCAGACUCCUACGGGAGGCAGCAGUGGGGAAUAUUGCACAAUGGGCGCAAGCCUGAUGCAGCCAUGCCGCGUGUAUGAAGAAGGCCUUCGGGUUGUAAAGUACUUUCAGCGGGGAGGAAGGUGUUGUGGUUAAUAACCGCAGCAAUUGACGUUACCCGCAGAAGAAGCACCGGCUAACUCCGUGCCAGCAGCCGCGGUAAUACGGAGGGUGCAAGCGUUAAUCGGAAUUACUGGGCGUAAAGCGCACGCAGGCGGUCUGUCAAGUCGGAUGUGAAAUCCCCGGGCUCAACCUGGGAACUGCAUUCGAAACUGGCAGGCUUGAGUCUUGUAGAGGGGGGUAGAAUUCCAGGUGUAGCGGUGAAAUGCGUAGAGAUCUGGAGGAAUACCGGUGGCGAAGGCGGCCCCCUGGACAAA
rnacentral:rRNA from 1 species